CAGUGGUAGAGCAGCAGAUUGCAAAUCUGUUGGUCC
rnacentral:tRNA from 1 species